AGUCGAACGGUGAACACGGAGCUUGCUCUGUGGGAUCAGUGGCGAACGGGUGAGUAACACGUGAGCAACCUGCCCCUGACUCUGGGAUAAGCGCUGGAAACGGCGUCUAAUACUGGAUAUGUGACGUGAUCGCAUGGUCUGCGUCUGGAAAGAAUUUCGGUUGGGGAUGGGCUCGCGGCCUAUCAGCUUGUUGGUGAGGUAAUGGCUCACCAAGGCGUCGACGGGUAGCCGGCCUGAGAGGGUGACCGGCCACACUGGGACUGAGACACGGCCCAGACUCCUACGGGAGGCAGCAGUGGGGAAUAUUGCACAAUGGGCGCAAGCCUGAUGCAGCAACGCCGCGUGAGGGACGACGGCCUUCGGGUUGUAAACCUCUUUUAGCAGGGAAGAAGCGAAAGUGACGGUACCUGCAGAAAAAGCGCCGGCUAACUACGUGCCAGCAGCCGCGGUAAUACGUAGGGCGCAAGCGUUAUCCGGAAUUAUUGGGCGUAAAGAGCUCGUAGGCGGUUUGUCGCGUCUGCUGUGAAAUCCGGAGGCUCAACCUCCGGCCUGCAGUGGGUACGGGCAGACUAGAGUGCGGUAGGGGAGAUUGGAAUUCCUGGUGUAGCGGUGGAAUGCGCAGAUAUCAGGAGGAACACCGAUGGCGAAGGCAGAUCUCUGGGCCGUAACUGACGCUGAGGAGCGAAAGGGUGGGGAGCAAACAGGCUUAGAUACCCUGGUAGUCCACCCCGUAAACGUUGGGAACUAGUUGUGGGGUCCAUUCCACGGAUUCCGUGACGCAGCUAACGCAUUAAGUUCCCCGCCUGGGGAGUACGGCCGCAAGGCUAAAACUCAAAGGAAUUGACGGGGACCCGCACAAGCGGCGGAGCAUGCGGAUUAAUUCGAUGCAACGCGA
rnacentral:rRNA from 1 species